rnacentral:tRNA from 9 species
GCGGGCGUGGUGAAAUUGGCAGACACACUAGACUUAGGAUCUAGCGCUUCGGCAUGGAGGUUCGAGUCCUCUCGCCCGCACCA